AUGUGGGCGGCGGAGGCGCCCUUCUCGCGGUCGGGGUCGUGGCGGGAGGCGGAGGACGAGCAGGAGGCGCUUCGGUGGGCCGCGCUGCAGCGCCUCCCCACCGUCGCGCGCGCCAGGAGGGGCCUGCUCAGGUCGCCGGCCGUCGCGCCCGGCUCCUCCGGCGCGGGCGGCCCGGUCGAGGGCGACGACGCGCUCUGCGAGGUCGACGUCACCGGCCUCUCCUCCGGCGACCGCACCGCGCUCGUCGACCGCCUGCUCGCCGACUCCGGCGACGCCGAGCAGUUCUUCCGCCGCAUACGCGCCCGCUUCGACGCGGUGCACAUAGAGUUCCCCAAGAUCGAAGUGAGGUACGAGGACCUGACGGUGGACGCGUACGUGCAUGUGGGCAGCAGGGCGCUGCCCACCAUCCCCAACUUCAUAUGCAACAUGACAGAGGCAUUUCUGAGGCACCUGAGGAUCUACAGAGGGGGAAGAAUGAAGUUACCUAUAUUGGACAACAUUAAUGGCAUCAUUCGCUCAUCAAGAAUGACACUGCUUUUGGGCCCUCCAAGUUCCGGGAAGACCACCUUGCUUUUAGCACUUGCCGGUCGACUUGGUCCUGGACUAAAGAUGUCUGGGAGCAUUACUUACAACGGCCACCAUCUAAACGAAUUUGUGCCUCAAAGAACAUCUGCUUAUGUAAGUCAGCAAGACUGGCAUGCUUCAGAGAUGACCGUCAGAGAAACCCUGGAGUUUGCUGGGCGCUGUCAGGGUGUUGGUAUAAAGUAUGAUAUGCUCGUUGAACUUUUGAGGAGAGAAAAGAAUGCUGGGAUCAAGCCUGAUGAGGAUCUUGAUGUAUUCAUGAAGGCAUUGGCUCUUGAAGGUAGACAGACGAGUCUUGUGGCUGAGUACGUAAUGAAGAUUUUAGGGCUGGACAUCUGUGCUGACACCAUUGUCGGAGAUGAAAUGGUCAAAGGAAUCUCUGGUGGGCAAAAGAAGCGUCUAACAACAGGUGAAUUGCUAGUUGGGUCUGCUCGCGUUCUGUUCAUGGAUGAGAUUUCAACUGGCCUUGAUAGUGCAACCACAUAUCAGAUUAUCAAGUACUUAAGGGAUUCCACACAUGCUCUGGAUGGCACUACAAUCAUAUCCCUGCUGCAGCCUGCUCCAGAAACUUAUGAGCUAUUCGAUGAUGUUAUUCUUAUAUCUGAAGGUCAAAUUGUAUACCAGGGACCACGUGAAUAUGCUGCUGAUUUUUUUGCUGCAAUGGGAUUCAGGUGCCCUGAAAGGAAAAAUGUGGCAGAUUUUUUGCAAGAAGUUUUGUCCAAGAAAGAUCAACAGCAGUACUGGUGUCAAUAUGAUUACCCAUACCAGUUUGUGUCCGUAACAAAAUUUGCUGAAGCCUUUAAGACAUUUGUUAUUGGUAAGAGGCUGCAUGAGGAUUUAGAUAGGCCAUACAAUAGAAAACAUAAUCAUCCCGCUGCUCUUUCAACUUCAAAUUACGGUGUCAAGAGGCUCGAGAUUCUGAAGUCCAACUUCCAGUGGCAGCGUUUGCUGAUGAAAAGGAACUCAUUCAUCUACGUCUUCAAAUUCAUUCAGCUUCUACUUGUGGCCCUCAUCACAAUGACUGUAUUUUUUCGAACAACAAUGCACCAUGAUUCAGUUGAUGAUGGGAUCAUUUAUCUUGGAGCCCUCUAUUUUGCAAUAGUGAUGAUUCUAUUCAAUGGCUUUACUGAAGUCUCAAUGUUGGUGGCGAAACUUCCAGUUCUUUACAAGCACAGAGAUUUGCAUUUCUAUCCACCAUGGGCUUUUACGCUUCCUUCUUGGCUCCUGAGCAUUCCAACCUCGCUUAUUGAAUCGGGAAUGUGGACACUUGUAACAUAUUAUGUUGUUGGUUAUGAUCCCCAGUUCACAAGAUUUCUGGGACAAUUUUUGUUGCUUUUCUUUCUGCACCAGACAUCUUUGGCUCUUUUCCGGGUCAUGGCAUCUUUGGGCCGAAAUAUGAUAGUUGCUAAUACCUUUGGAUCGUUUGCUUUGUUGGUUGUUAUGAUCCUUGGAGGAUUCAUCAUAACCAAAGAAAGCAUACCAGUCUGGUGGAUUUGGGGUUAUUGGAUCUCUCCUAUGAUGUAUGCACAGAAUGCUAUAUCGGUAAAUGAAUUCCAUGGGCGUUCUUGGAGCAAGCCAUUUGCAGAUCAGAACAUCACAUUAGGUGAAGCUGUACUCACUGGAUAUGGAUUAUUCAAGGAAAAAUAUUGGUUUUGGAUUGGAGUCGGAGCAUUGUUAGGUUACACGAUUGUUUUGAAUGCCUUAUUUACAUUGUUCUUGACAAUUCUCAACCCAAUUGGGAAUAUGCAAGCUGUUGUAUCCAAGGAUGCGAUUCGAAACAAGGAUUCUAGGAGGAAGAGUGACAGAGUAGCCCUAGAGCUGAGAUCUUACCUGCAUUCAACUUCACUGAAUGGGCUUAAGCUCAAGGAACAGAAGGGCAUGGUGUUACCCUUUCAACCCCUUUCUAUGUGCUUUAAGAAUAUAAACUACUACGUUGAUGUACCAGAGGAAUUGAAAAAGCAAGGGAUAGCAGAAGACCGCCUUCAGUUGCUUGUUGAUGUCACUGGUGCAUUUAGGCCAGGGGUACUGACAGCCCUUGUUGGAGUCAGCGGUGCUGGUAAAACCACCCUCAUGGAUGUUUUAGCCGGCCGGAAGACCGGAGGACUCAUAGAAGGAAACAUCUCUAUAUCUGGAUAUCCUAAGAACCAAGAGACUUUCACAAGGAUAUCCGGUUAUUGUGAACAAAAUGAUGUCCAUUCACCUUGCUUGACUGUGAUUGAGUCUUUGUUAUACUCGGCAUGCCUCCGGUUGCCUUCUCAUGUCAAUGAUGACACUCAAAGGGCUUUUGUGGAAGAGGUGAUGGAACUUGUUGAGCUGAAUCCGUUAAGUGGUGCUCUUGUUGGCCUGCCAGGAGUUAAUGGUCUGUCUACGGAACAACGCAAAAGGUUGACGAUAGCUGUGGAGCUUGUGGCAAAUCCUUCCAUUGUAUUCAUGGAUGAACCUACGUCAGGGUUGGAUGCUAGGUCUGCAGCCAUUGUGAUGAGAACUGUACGAAAUAUUGUUAAUACAGGACGGACAAUCGUGUGCACCAUCCAUCAGCCAAGUAUCGACAUAUUUGAAUCCUUUGAUGAGCUUUUGUUUAUGAAGCGUGGAGGGCAACUCAUAUAUGCUGGCCCCUUGGGUCCCAAAUCACGCAAUCUGGUUGAGUUUUUCCAGGCAGUUCCAGGGGUGCCUAAAAUCAGGGAUGGCUAUAAUCCUGCUGCAUGGAUGUUGGAUGUCACGAGUACACAAAUGGAGCAGAUUCUUGGAGUGGAUUUUGCUGAAUACUAUCGACAGUCGAAAUUAUUUCUGCAGACCAAAGAAAUCGUUGAGGCCUUGAGCAAACCGAACAGUGAAGUGAAAGAGCUUACUUUCUCUACCAAGUAUGCUCAACCAUUCUGUGCUCAGUUUAUUGCUUGCUUAUGGAAGCAAAACCUAUCGUACUGGAGGAAUCCUCAAUACACUGCAGUUCGGUUUUUCUACACCGUCAUCAUCUCCUUGAUGUUUGGGACGAUUUGCUGGAAAUUUGGCUCUAGAAGGGAGACCCAACAUGAUAUAUUCAAUGCCAUGGGUGCCAUGUAUGCAGCAGUGCUUUUCAUAGGAAUCACUAACGCCACUUCCGUUCAACCUGUGAUCUCCAUCGAAAGAUUCGUAUCGUACAGAGAGCGAGCUGCUGGGAUGUAUUCAGCAUUACCUUUCGCAUUCUCUCUGGUUACUGUGGAGUUCCCUUACAUUCUUGUUCAGUCACUUGUCUACGGUACAAUUUUCUACAGCCUGGGCUCAUUUGAGUGGACAGUGGUGAAGUUCCUGUGGUUCCUGUUCUUCAUGUACUUCACUCUGUUGUACUUCACCUUCUACGGCAUGAUGACGACGGCGAUCACUCCGAAUCAUAUGGUCGCGCCUAUCAUUGCCGCCCCAUUCUACACGUUAUGGAAUCUCUUCUGCGGGUUCAUGAUCCCAAGAAAGGUAUGGAACGAAUGUCACCCCCAUGAUUUGAAUCUAACAAAACCAAUCAAUAACUUCCGUCCUACGGUGGACUUCCAGUUCCGUCUCCGUUUGGCAAUCUGGCUGAUCCCGGUGUGGUGGAGGUGGUACUACUGGGCCAACCCGGUGUCCUGGACGCUGUACGGGCUCCUGACCUCCCAGUUCGGCGACCUGGACCAGCCCCUUCUGCUGGCCGACGGCAUCAGAACCACCACCGUGGUGGCGUUCCUGGAGGAGCACUUUGGGUUCCGGCACGACUUCCUCGGCGUCGUCGCCACGAUGGUGGUCGGCUUCUGCGUCCUCUUCGCCGUCGUCUUCGCCCUCGCCAUCAGGAACCUCAACUUCCAGCGCAGAUGA
rnacentral:rRNA from 1 species